rnacentral:lncRNA from 1 species
AUGACCUGGCUUAGGGGCGCCUCUAUUAAAAAGGGUUAUCCUCAUUCCAGACGGCUUUGGCUCUACAAUGACAUUCUGAGAUUGGCCUUGAAAGGCUUCUCCAAGAUGGAGAAAAGUCAGCACUGCCCAUGGGGUGUCCCUGGCCCAGAGUCAACAGGCUUGAGUCCUUUGCCACUUGGGCGGAUUUUCCGCUCCCUUGGAACAGGCUGUUGGCUUUUUCCAUUUCUCAGAUAUGGGGCAAUAAUCCUAACCCACUAACAAAAAGACAAUGAGGAAUGAUUAGCAGAUGCUGACCAAGAGCCCUGAAAUCCACAAAGCAUGGACCAUGAACAAUUCUGAAAUAGAAAAGUAUCUGUUUUGCAACACUUGGGUACAGCCCCGGACACUCGGUCCCUUUGUACAGUCUCUGCAAAUUAAAAAGCCCAGUGACACCAAGGGUAGGCUCAGAGUUCCCAGCCCAGUGAUGUCCUUGGACUUGACGAUCAACCGUUUGAUCUCUCCGAAGGUACAGAAUUCCCCUAAGCGCCUCUGAGGCUGUGAGGAUAGGCUUGGGUUAUACUGGGUGUUCAUUUAUAGUACUUUGGUGACUUGGAAAACCCUGCCAUCUCAUAGCAAGACACAGAUCCUUUACAAGACCAUUGGAUUCAGUGAGAAGCCAGGCCUUCCUCCAUCACAGUGCAUCUGUGUGACUCUGGACAUGACCUCUGACCUCUCAAGACUUGUGCUUAGACGUCUGACAACGGAAAUGGGCAGGGAGGGGAGUUUGACUAGAUGGGGACGAAGGAGUUUCCAGCAACUGCCUGCAUUUUUAAGAGAAGGUGUUUUAAAAGCAGGGCUAAAGCUGUCUUGGUAGGUCCAGGAAGGAAGGUGGUUUUGUGAGUGGAUCUCCUGGGUCAAAAAGCCCUAAUGGGUAGCGUGUUUUCAAGAGACAUGGGGUCUGCUGAGGUAACAGUGUCUUCAGAUAGCCCUGUGCCUGGUCCAUGGACCCGUCCAGAUAUCACAUCUGACAGAAGGGCCCACAGGACAGUGAGGCCACAAAGCUCUGAAGCCAGAAAUGGAGUGAGCCAUACUUGGGGGGAAGGGGUCUCUCAGCCUUGCAGGGACCCUGGUCCAGGGCAAUGCAGCAGAAGGGGGGAUAUCACGGGAGCCAGGACAUGGCAUUGACCAGUCCGUUUGAGGCUCCUUAGAGACCCAAGGGAAGAACCUUGUGUUGAUCUGGCCAGCCAGCAAUCUGUAGGAGCAGGUGAGCCAGACAAGA